rnacentral:rRNA from 1 species
AACGAACGCUGGCGGCAUGCCUAACACAUGCAAGUCGAACGAGACCUUCGGGUCUAGUGGCGCACGGGUGCGUAACGCGUGGGAACCUGCCCUUAGGUUCGGAAUAACUCCCCGAAAGGGGUGCUAAUACCGGAUAAUGUCUUCGGACCAAAGAUUUAUCGCCUUUGGAUGGGCCCGCGUUGGAUUAGCUAGUUGGUAGGGUAAAAGCCUACCAAGGCGACGAUCCAUAGCCGGUCUGAGAGGAUGAUCAGCCACACUGGGACUGAGACACGGCCCAGACUCCUACGGGAGGCAGCAGUGGGGAAUAGUGGACAAUGGGCGAAAGCCUGAUCCAGCAAUGCCGCGUGAGUGAUGAAGGCCUUAGGGUUGUAAAGCUCUUUUACCCGGGAUGAUAAUGACAGUACCGGGAGAAUAAGCGCCGGCUAACUCCGUG